GUCAGUGUGGCAUAGUGGUUUAAGUGCUGGACAAAGACUCUGGAGGCCAGGGUUCAAACCCUGACUCAGCCA